GGCCUGGCUAAGCGGUCUGCCGUCUGGUAUGUACUGCUCGGCUGGGUCUUUCCUUCUGGAGAGCCAGUAUGCUCUUUACUGAGUGUGCUGGGGAUCCAGGACCAUUUACCUUGAAAAAAUUAGAGUGUUUAAAGCAGGCAUUUGCUUGAAUAGAUUAGCAUGGAAUAAUAGAAUAGGACU
rnacentral:rRNA from 1 species